UUGGCUGCUGAGAGAGAGACCUGCAGGCCAUGGGGAACUGACACCCACUACAGAAGCUGAUCUCACUCUGUCCCUUCUCUAUGAGUAAACUCUACUUGGUUUUUUGAUUUCAUCACUAUCAACUUCAACUUGUCUACCCGACCAUGGAGCAUCAUCCAGCGAGAAAUCUCCAGCACGAAACUUCGCAAACCACUUUGGACACGUUCAGUCAGUCACAGCACCUUCUCCAUACACUGCACAAAU